GUUUAUUCUCUACCUAAUCUGUGGUAUUUUGUUAUUAGCAGUCUGAAAGGACUAAGACAAACUCCAAAGUGGCUAUGUUACUACCAGGUAUAGCGAUAGUUACUUCGCUGGGAUGCUGUGCGACCUUACCUCUGAGAACUGCAUCAACAAGGAAUGGAAAACAUGGUGAGAGGAAGCUUUAAGAGAGAAAGGAAGCCUGAAUAUGAAAGACAAGAGUUCUACGAAGACAAAGCAAACUUCAACACGCCACACCCUGGAGAUUUGAUGUACUGAAGGUUCUGAACUCUGGCAUUCAGUUACCACUGGACCACGGACUGUGUCGCACUGCAGUGAUUCAUCCACUGUCUGCCUUCUCCGCAUUCUGGGCUGCUUGAGGGCAGGAACAAACCCACCCGUUAGCGUAUCUCCAACCUCAUAAAGUCUCUGGACAGUCAUAUGGAAUCAGUCAGUGUGAGUUGAGGAAGUCAAUGAGUACUCGAGAAGGUUAAAUUCAAAAUACCUAACAGGGAAAUAUGACCCAAAAAUAAAAAUAAUUAUUCCAUGAAAUUCUAUUUCUAG
rnacentral:lncRNA from 1 species